rnacentral:rRNA from 1 species
CCAGCACUGUAGUAACAGUGGUUCGAUCAUGGCUCAGAUUUCGAACGCUGGCGGGAUGCUUUACACAUGCAAGUCGAACGGCAGCACGGACUUCGGUCUGGUGGCGAGUGGCGAACGGGUGAGUAAUGUAUCGGAACGCAGCCUAUAGCGGGGGAUAUUAACUACGCGAAAGGUAGCUAAUACCGCAUACGACUCCCCGGGAAAGCAGACCCCGGGCCUGCAACAUUAGAGCGGCCGAUAUCGGAUUAGCUAGGUUGUGGUGUUGCUCACCAAGGCGACGAUCCGUAGCUGGUUUGAGAGGACGACCAGCCACACUGGGACUGGAGACACGGCCCAGACUCCUACGGAGGCAGCAGUGGGGAAUUUCGACAAUGGUGGGAACCUUGAUCCAGCCAUCCUGCGUGCGAUGAAGGCCUUCGGGUUGUAAAGCACUUUUGGCGGUGAAAGAAACGGCACGGGAUAAUACCCCGUGCAACUGACGGCACUUCCAGAAUAAGCACCGGCUAACUACGCGCCAGCAGCCGUAAUAAUGUAGUGUUAAUCGGAAUUACUGGGCGUAAAGCGUGCGCAGGCGGUUCGGAAAGAAAGAUGUGAAUCCAGAGCUGAAUUUUCACGGGAACCGCAUUUUUAACUACUGAGCUAGAGCGUAAACAGAGGUGGAAUUCCGCGUGGCAGCAGCGGAUAUGCGGAGGAACACCACGGCGAAGGCAGCCUCCUGGGAUAACACUGACGCUCAUGCAUCGAAAGCGUGGGGAGCAAACAGGAUUAGAUACCCUGGUAGUCCACGCCCUAAACGAUGUCAACUAGCUGUUGUUCUGGGCCUGGUAGCGCAGCUAACGUGAAGUUGACCCGCCUGGGGAGUACGGUCGCAAGAUUAAAACUCAAAGGAAUUACGGACCCGCAGCAAGGCGGUGGAUGAUGGUGAUUAACGGAUGCAACGUGGAACCUUACCCAUCUUUGAUAACUGAAUCCUGAAGAGAUUUGGGGAGGCGUUUGCAAGAGAACCGGAACACAGGUGCUGCAUGGCUGCCGUCAGUCGUGUCGUGAGAUGUUGGGUUAAGUCCCGCAACGAAAGGCAACCCUUGUCAUUAGUUGCUGAAAGUGCACUCCACGAGACUGCCGGUGACAAACUGGAGGAAGGUGGGGAUGACGUCAAGUCCUCAUGGCCCUUGCGGUGCAGGGCUUCACACGUCAUACAAUGGUCGGGACAGAGGGCCUUCAACCCGCGAGGGGGAGCCAAUCCUGAACUGAUCGUAGUCCGGACGUCUGCAACCGAGACUGCGUAAGUCGUGGAAUCGCUAGCAAUCGCGGAUCAGCAUGUCGCGGUGCGAACACACCGGUCUUGUACACACCGCCCGUCACACCAGGCGGCGGGUUUUACCAGAAGUAAAGGCUCAACCGCAAGGAGGGCGACGACACGGUAGAUUAUGAUCGGGGGUGAAGUCGUAACAAGGUAA